CUAAAACAUGUUCUGUCACUGUUGCGCGCCAGUUACGACCGGACGACGACCGUAAACCUCUUAAGUUAUUCUGGUCUUUAUUAUUGCCUGCCCUCUAUCAAUGGAUCCUCAACCUGAACCAGUCAGCUAGAUCUGUGGAGGUACUUGUUAACAUACAUGGAUACAAAUUUGAGUGUCUUUUUUUAAUCUGAUUGAAUUAUGUUGAAAUGGGUUUGCAUAUUGCAGCCAAGAGAACACGCUGAAGCCAGAUGAUGUAAUUCAGCUCCGCAAGUGCGGUUAUCGUAUCCUCUACAAGAAAUGUAUCUGAAGAAGUAAAUUUUCAGCACCCUUUUAUUUGCCCUCUUUGAAAUAUAAUAUAGUUUUAUGAUUUUCUUCUUCCUUUUAUGAUGGAUUGAAUCCUGAAAGAUUCUUGGGCUAGUAUGAAAUUGUUUUGGGCUUGAAUUAUUGGUUCACUUGUUUAAUUUUGCAAACGUAUACUCAAGUUGAUGUAUUUUAAUGAUUUUCUUUUAGCAACGAUAAAGGAAAAAAUAAUCUUUGUUAGAUUUUGUUUCAAAGGUUUAAAUCUUAUUGCUAAAUUAAAAAUUCUCAGUGCUUGGUUGGCUGGAAAAAGAGUAUUGGUUUGUCCAUGAAGAGUUGGAGAAGUGCUAAUAUUUGAUAAAAUUAGAUUUUCAGCGAGUUUUAAUAUAGCAUUCUUGAUCUUUUCCAGGAGAAUGAUGUUUGUAACAAAUUUAGUUGUAUGGGAGGAUGAUGUUCAUAACUUGUGAUGGACAUCUAGAACUGUCAAUAGGAAGUGAAAGUUGCAGAGAGUUCUCGUUGCACAGAGAAAAUGGGUCUUAAUGGAUAUUUAUAUCUUGGUAUGUAGAGAAAUAGAGAUGACGGGGCUAAUUCUUUUAGUUUUAUCUUGGUGAAGAUGCUUGAAGGGCGUGUUAAAUACUGAAGCCAGUUGCUCUGUAGAAUAACAUGUUAUUUUCUUAAAUCCCUUCUUCAUUUGUUAACUUGUACGUAUUUAAGUUAGGAGCUAAAUGUUGUAUUUGCCUAAUGUCUUGGGGUAAAUUAGGGUCCAAGCCCAAUAAAUAAUUUAAUAAAAGAACCUACAGAAAAUUGUAAUUAAAAUAAGGAAUCAAUGUUGCAAUUUCAACUGAAUCCUUAAAUCACCAAAUAUGACAAUGAUUUUACAUGCGGCGAAAUUUAGCAAAAGAUAAAUAAGAAGAUUCCCACUAAAACUUUUAAUUGAUGCUUCAUAUUUUGGAUGAAUUGAGAAGCAGUGUUUCAUGAGAGUGUAUGAAAGAGAGAACCCAAUUCAGCAACAUACAGUGAACAAAAAUCCGAUAGCAAUAGGGGAAAUUGCUUAAUCACAAAAGUUUGCGCUUCC
rnacentral:lncRNA from 1 species